CGGGUGCACUGAUCCGGCCGGGCCUUUCCCUCUGUGGAACCCCAUGGCCUUCACUGGCUGUGCGGGGGAAACAGGACUUUUACUGUGAAAAAAUUAGAGUGCUCCAGGCAGGCCUAUGCUCGAAUACAUUAGCAUGGAAUAAUAGAAUAGGACGCGUGGUUCUAUUUUGUUGGUUUCUAGGACCGCCGUAAUGAUUAAUAGGGACAGUCGGGGGGCAUCAGUAUUCAAUUGUCAGAGGUGAAAUUCUUGGAUCUAUUGAAGACUAACUACUGCGAAAGCAUUUGCCAAGGAUGUUUUCAUUGAUAAGGAACGAAAGUUAGGGGAUCGAAGACGAUCAGAUACCGUCGUAGUCUUAACUAUAAACUAUGCCGACUAGGGAUCGGACGAUGUUAUUUCUUGACGCGUUCGGCACCUUUCGAGAAAUCAAAGUGCUUUGGGCUCCAGGGGGGAGUAUGGUCGCAAGGCUGAAACUUAAAGGAAUUGACGGAAGGGCACCACCAGGGGUGGAGCCUGCGGCUUAAUUUGACUCAACACGGGAAAACUCACCAGGUCCAGACAUGGGAAGGAUUGACAGAUUGAGAGCUCUUUCAUGAUUCUAUGGGUGGUGGUGCAUGGCCGUUCUUAGUUGGUGGAGUGAUUUGUCUGGUUAAUUCCGAUAACGAACGAGACCUUAUCCUGCUAAAUAGGCGGCGCUGCCCUUGGGCAGUGUCUCCGCCUUCUUAGAGGGACUAUCUG
rnacentral:rRNA from 1 species